rnacentral:rRNA from 1 species
CCCGCUGAACUUAAGCAUAUCAAUAAGCGGAGGAAAAGAAACUAACAAGGAUUCCCCUAGUAACUGCGAGUGAAGCGGGAAAAGCUCAAAUUUAAAAUCUGGCAGCCAUUUUACGGUUGUCCGAGUUGUAAUCUAGAGAAGUGCUUUCCGCGCUGGACCGUGUACAAGUCUCUUGGAAUAGAGCAUCAUAGAGGGUGAGAAUCCCGUCUUUGACACGGACUACCAGUGCUUUAUGUGAUGCGCUCUCAAAGAGUCGAGUUGUUUGGGAAUGCAGCUCAAAAUGGGUGGUAAAUUCCAUCUAAAGCUAAAUAUUGGCGAGAGACCGAUAGCGAACAAGUACCGUGAGGGAAAGAUGAAAAGAACUUUGAGAAAGAGAGUUAAACAGUACGUGAAAUUGUUGAAAGGGAAACGCUUGAAGUCAGUCACGUUGGCCAGAAAUCAACUUGUAACAGGGCGUAAUUUCUGGUUUUACGGGUCAACAUCAAUUUUGAUUGUUGGAUAAAAGUCAAUAUUUAUGCCUUUUCGGACGUGUAGCCCUUGAUUGCAUACAAUGGUUGGGAUUGAGGAACUCAGCACGCCGCAAGCCCGGGUAACUUGUUACCACGUAACGUGCUUAGGAUGUUGGCAUAAUGGCUUUAAUCGACCCGUCUUGAAACACGG